AAGAAGAAAAAAAAAAGAAGAAAAAAAAAUAGAAAAAGAAGAAAAAAAACAGGUUUUUGUAAGACU
rnacentral:ribozyme from 1 species